rnacentral:rRNA from 1 species
CCUACGGGAGGCUGCAGUGGGGAAUAUUGGACAAUGGGGGCAACCCUGAUCCAGCCAUGCCGCGUGUGUGAAGAAGGCCCUCGGGUUGUAAAGCACUUUCAGUGAGGAAGAACUCCUGGGGGUGAAAACCUAUCAGGAUAGACAUCACCCACAGAAGAAGCACCGGCUAACUCCGUGCCAGCAGCCGCGGUAAUACGGAGGGUGCGAGCGUUAAUCGGAAUUACUGGGCGUAAAGCGCGCGUAGGUGGCUUGAUAAGCCGGUUGUGAAAGCCCCGGGCUCAACCUGGGAACGGCAUCCGGAACUGUCAAGCUAGAGUGCAGGAGAGGAAGGUAGAAUUCCCGGUGUAGCGGUGAAAUGCGUAGAGAUCGGGAGGAAUACCAGUGGCGAAGGCGGCCUUCUGGACUGACACUGACACUGAGGUGCGAAAGCGUGGGUAGCAAACAGGAUUAGAUACCCUUGUAGUC